GGAGAAUUUUAGAAGCAGAUCUCGAGCAAUACUCAGGAGUGUCUCAUGCUUGAGCAUUUUCAUAGACGCAUGAUUCUGAGGAAAAGGAACCUUUGAUUCUCAGCCUGCACUGGGGAAGGAGAAGAGGAGAUCUAGGGAAACAAGGAUCUAAAAGGCAGACACAGAAAAUGAGAGAGGAGAAAGGCAGUUCGUGUGGGACCUGGUGAAGGGGAGCAGAGAGAGGCUGAUCAGGGCUACAGAACUUCAGUUUUGUCAGGGACAAUUCCACAAGCUUGAGGAAAGAUUUUAUAGAUAAAAGACAAGUGAAACUUUCUAUUCAACAAAUAUUGGGUGAAAUUUGACACAGCUACUAUACCACAUUUCCUUCAUAGAAGAAGACACAAUAAAAUCAAUGACUUGAGAAUCAUGUGCAAAUAUCAAAUGGCAAAUGUCAUUAGAAAGAUGAUGUUUCCAGAACUAGAAUGCAGAACUGUAAUAAUCUGUAACCAAAUCACAAGCAAAGUAAGUAAAUAAAUAUACAAGAACAUGCCCAAUGCCUUGCAGGAAUCACCCAGCAACUGCCAGAGCUGAGAAGUGACUUUAUUACAGCGGAGGUCAGAGAGAGGGCGACCUUUCAGCAAAUAUGCCCCUCCUCCACUGCACUCCCAAGGGUUACCAAGACCACACUUCUUCCCUGUUAUUGUAGGGUUCCCAGCCUUACCCAUGUUCAGAAAAAAUACUGUCUACUCUUGCAUGAUGUGAGAAGCUGCAGUGUAAUCACACAACUCAAAUUUUUCCACUUCUAACUUAAAUACAUAUUGCCAAGGUGCAUGAGUCAGUAAUGAAUAGCUCUUCCUUCUACAUUCACGAGAGCCUUGUUUUGUGAUUUUUUCCAAAUUUUUCCUUGUCCUACCUUUCUAUGGUUAAGCUUCUACUUUUCCUCAACCAUAUAAAAAUAUUAAAUGGGGGGGAAAUCAUUCUGGGAAAUAAAUGUACUUUCUGGCACUAUUUCUGGGAAGCUCUGUGACCUUGGGUAUGUCCCUUUAACCUUUAUAACAAUUUUCUCAUUUGUGGUAAACUUUUCUCUGCCUAAUCGGAAUGCUGAAAGCAGUGAUUCUUAAAUAUUUAGUUUCAGAAACCCUUUAAAAUCUUAACUGUAACUAUUGAUAAUACUAAACUGUUCUUUUUGACUGUGAUUAUUUAUA